rnacentral:rRNA from 1 species
UCCCUUAGAUGUCCUGGGCUGCACGCGCGCUACACUGAUGUGUCCAGUAAGCACCUAACCUCUUCCGAAAGGAACGGGUAACCUUUGCAAAGCACAUCGUGAUGGGGAUAGAUUAUUGCAAUUAUUAGUCUUGAACGAGGAAUUCCUAGUAAGCACAAGUCAUCAGCUUGUGUUGAUUACGUCCCUGCCCUUUGUACACACCGCCCGUCGCUCCUACCGAUUGAAUGUUCCGGUGAGCUCUUCGGACUGCGCGGUCUGCAGUUUCUGCGUUCCGUGCGGAAAGUUGCGCAAACCUUAACAUUUAGAGGAAGGAGAAGUCGUAACA